GCCCUUGUAGCUCAGUUGGUAGAGCAUCUGAUUUGUAAUCAGAGGGUCGGGCGUUCGAGUCGCUCCGGGGGCACCA
rnacentral:tRNA from 1 species